GUCUUCAGUCUGCCUCUCCUGCUUACCUUCUUCCACCACCAGGUGCAGCUGAGGGAAGAUGACAGGUGUUCCUCAUUUUGAUGAUCAUCUGGAAGAGUAUAUAGGGGACGGAUCGCCAGCAUUCUUUACCUAAGUGUUUUGCCUACAGCGGUUCUAUAUUCAGUCUUUGACUCAGUCUGAUGGUUUAUCGCACCCUGCUUCAGAAGAAUCUGGAUCAAGUCCCUGCUGGCUGUCCGUUCUCCAGUACUCUUUCCUCGCCUGCACGCACCCAGUCCACCCUCCAACGAUCCGCUUACUUGGACCACGGAAGUUUCUGGUGGAUUCCCAGAUGAGGCCGCCCUGGAUCUCCAGACUCAUUUGCAAUCUCCCUGGCAGAUCUAGUCCUCCCUGCACACCGUAAGCCUUCUGAAACAGAGACUAUUAGCUGCCACUCACCAAGUACUUACCUGAUCUGUUUCCCUCUUUUUCGCAGUCCACCGGUUCCUGUCUGCGUGGCUAGCCCUGAUCAUUAUCUGUUCCAGAAUUCUAGCAAUAAACUUCCAAAACUG